rnacentral:rRNA from 1 species
AACGAACGCUGGCGGCAGGCCUAACACAUGCAAGUCGAGCGGCAGCGCGGGGCAACCUGGCGGCGAGCGGCGGACGGGUGAGGAAUACGUCGGAAUCUGCCUUUUUGUGGGGGAUAACGUAGGGAAACUUACGCUAAUACCGCAUACGACCUACGGGUGAAAGUGGGGGACCGCAAGGCCUCACGCAGAAAGAUGAGCCGACGUCCGAUUAGCUAGUUGGUGAGGUAAUGGCUCACCAAGGCGACGAUCGGUAGCUGGUCUGAGAGGAUGAUCAGACAAACUGGGACUGGGACAAGGCCCAGACUCCUACGGGAGGCAGCAGUGGGGAAUAUUGGACAAUGGGCGCAAGCCUGAUCCAGCCAUGCCGCGUGUGUGAAGAAGGCCUUCGGGUUGUAAAGCACUUUUGUCCGGAAAGAAAUCCUGAAGAUUAAUACUCUUUGGGGAUGACGGUACCGGAAGAAUAAGCACCGGCUAACUUCGUGCCAGCAGCCGCAGUAA